rnacentral:rRNA from 1 species
AGAGUUUGAUCAUGGCUCAGGACAAACGCUGGCGGCGUGGAUUAGGCAUGCAAGUCGAACGAAUCCCAGCCUUGUAGCAAUACCGGGCUGGGGGAAGUGGCGAAAGGGGCAGUAAGGCGUGGGUAACCUACCCCGGGGACGCGGAUAGCCAUUCUAACGAGUGGGUAAUACGCGGCGAUUCAGCGUGAUGGCAUCAUCGUGCUGGGAAAUGAAUUUCGCCUCGGGAGGGGCUCACGUGAUAUUAGCUUGUUGGCGGGGUAACGGCCCACCAAGGCGAAGAUGUCUAGCGGGUGUGAGAGCACGACCCGCGCCACUGGCACUGAGACACUGGCCAGACACCUACGGGUGGCUGCAGUCGAGGAUCUUCGGCAAUGGGCGCAAGCCUGACCGAGCGACGCCGCGUGUGCGAUGAAGGCCUUCGGGUUGUAAAGCACUGUCGAGGGGGAUAAAGCCCGCAAGGGUUGAUUGAUCCCUGGAGGAAGCACGGGCUAAGUUCGUGCCAGCAGCCGCGGUAAGACGAACCGUGCGAACGUUGUUCGGAAUCACUGGGCUUAAAGGGCGCGUAGGCGGCUUCGCAAGUCCGGGGUGAAAGCCCCCAGCUCAACUGGGGAAGUGCCUUGGAUACUGCGGAGCUCGAG